rnacentral:tRNA from 1 species
GGUAAAAUGUCUGAGAUUAAAGGUGAUGGAUUGUAAAUCUAUUUAGGGGUUUAUUACCCUUUUACCA